GACAGAGGGGGCAAGCGUUGCUCGGAAUUACUGGGCGUAAAGGGCGCGUAGGCGGGAUGGCAAGUCGGUCGUGAAAUCCCUCGGCUCAACUGAGGAUCGUCGAUCGAUACUGCCGUUCUUGAGGAUUGCAGAGGAGACUGGAAUUCCCGGUGUAGCAGUGAAAUGUGUAGAGAUCGGGAGGAACACCGGUGGCGAAGGCGGGUCUCUGGGCAAUUCCUGACGCUGAGGCGCGAAAGCGUGGGGAGCAAACGGG
rnacentral:rRNA from 1 species